UUCUAGUAAUACCAUCCGGAGAGUCAGGGCGCACUUGAGCGUUUUCACCAGACAUUAAAAAACCAUGUUGUGUACUUACUGCCUGGAGUCCAUCGGAGUUAGUAUUUGCCCAUACUGUGCGUGGGCCAUUGAAGUUAUUUAAAGAGAAGUGGCUGUAAGAGGGGACAGAACAAAACUUGUUGGACUAUGUGUCUUAGGUUUGGGUGACGAGGGGAGAAACUGAUAAGAGGGGGCUGGGCGCUUGGCGCUUGGCGCUUGGCUCUCGCUCUGGUCCACCUUCCAGCCAUGGCAGCAGCAGCACCUCCGAGACUGCGACUAAUUGUGCGGCAGGUGGAGCUGACAGACAGCGUUCUCAGGACACUCGAUACUGAACAGCAGCCCUGCAGCCGUCUUGCCGGCUGAUUGGAGGAGGCUCUCAUCCCAUUGGACAGUCCGGUACAGCAGCUCCGCCUCCUGAG